rnacentral:lncRNA from 1 species
UUUGUUACCAGUUAAUCUAAUUAAGUCUUUCCACUUUUCUGUGGAAAGACUUAUUGUUUUUGUUCUGAUUAUUAUUAUUUUUUUUAUUUUUUUCUUCCGCCAAAUUUUGUUCUUGCGCAAAAUGUUUGUUUCGCAAUAUGUCGCUUAGAUAUUUCUCAUAUGGUAUCGUAUAGUUUAUGCGCUUUUAAAUUUCACCCUGCUAAGGCGAACCAUUUUCUAUGUAAGAGUUAUCUCCCUUUUCACUGUUUAUCCUCUGUGUGCAUCUCCUUCGUAACAAAACAAGAUAGCGACAAAAUUCUUUUUACAAAUUGUUCGUUACAUCCUCAGUAAUUUUUGCCGUAUUUGGAUUGAAGCGAUUCGAUGAAAUUUUAUAGGAGUUAUCUACCUUUACAAAAUAAAUUUGUCGGUAUGUUUAUUUAACUCAUAAACAGUUAACCGUAUAACCCUGGAAUGUUUUUAUUUGAGUCCCCUAGGUCCUAACUUAGAAAAUGAGGUCAAGGUCAAAGGUCAAGGUCAAGUUCUCAAUUGUGACUUUUGCUUGUUUUUGCAUUUUUUCGGACACUUUGAAAGAUACAUAUUAAAGAACAAGUUCAAAAUGUCAACUUUAUAGUAAUGAAGAUAUGCUACAUUUAGUCUUAUACAAUUAAAUGGCAUCUUAUAGGAGUUGUUGCCCCUGAAAUGUCUUGAUAUGAGGUUAUUUGAUUAUAACUUCAAUUAAGUUCAUUAUACAGACAUUUGACCUCAUACAAAAGGUUUAGUGACAAAUGACCUUGAAAAAUGGCUACCGGAAGUGACCUUUAGAAAACCGGAAGUAGCUUUUUUUUGCAAUUUUUUCACCUAAAAGUACCCAGAAUCCAUAUAUUUUGUCAUAUAGAUACAUAAAACAGAUAACUGAAGACUAAAAAUGACUUCUAACAAACCGGAAGUGGCCAAUUAUCUCCCAUUCUACAUACAAAAGUAUAUAGAAACUAUAUAUUUUUGGAAUCAGUGUGAAAGAAGCUAUCAUAUGAGACAGGAUGUGACAUUCAUUUUACCGGAAGUAGCAUAUUAUUUCCCUUAUAUCACUCAAAAAGAUAAUUAAACCAUCAUUUAUCGCAUCAGUAUGAAGAAACUACCUUCUUAUCCAAAUUUCUUUGUUGUGGAAAGACUUUCAAUUGUUC